rnacentral:lncRNA from 1 species
GUUCAGUCCUCAUAACUGUCAUCAUCCCCGCCUCUUUCUAUUCUAAAUCUAUUCACUUCAUCACUGAGAAAUAUAUCAUUAAAUUUUUUCCAUAACAUUCACAACUACACAUGUCCAUUUAUAAAUAAAAUCAGAAAAUAUCAUUCAUGAAGAGCCAUGAGUGAAGGUCUGGGUCAUCAAAGAGCUAGUAAGAGUUUGGUGUUAGAGGUAUAGUUCUCCUUCAACUCCUAGGAGGCAGGGAUCUGUUUCCUGUGUUUGUACAAAAGACUGUUUAUGCUGUUGUUUGCCACUGCUCUUCUCAAUCCAUAACAUUACUGUGUGCUUUUUGUUCUUCCCAUUUCAUUCUAAUUUUAACUGAUUUUUUUCUGCCCUUCUUUUUUCUGUUCCUUUUCUUAUUACUUUCUAUGUUUUUCAUUAGAGAAAAUGAUAGCAGGAACGUUGGGAUCAAGAAAUAAACAUAAAUGUACUGCUAUUUUGCUAUUUUAAUUAAAGACAAAUAUCUAAGUGUAUAACCAAUGUCAUAAGUCAAUCUAUGCAAAUGGUGAGUAUAACAGAAAAAAAAAAAACUCUGAUGGCUUCUCAAGGAGGUAAUUAGCUAUUCUACAGUUGAGCCUUCCACAUUACAAAUGUGCAUUGUCUUAAAUUUAAUCAAAAAAAGAAGGCAUAGAAUAUGGUAAUUUAGUUACUCAGAGAACCUCAUUACACUGACUUUUAGAUAAGGCAUUGCUUAAUGUAGAAUUGUUUCAAGUCAUGCAGAAUUACAUUACUAUUUUUCAACUGAUUAGAUGUAACUUGCAGAUGAGAGUUAAAGUCCCAACUAAUCCUCAGGUAAGUGAGGAUUCUUGAAAGCAGAGACCUUACAUGCAAUGUCUUCCAUUUGACUUACGUAAAUACUAGCUCCCUAAAAGGUCUGGUCUAGGUGCCAGCUCUGUCAGCCUUUGUGUUGAUAGCCUAUCACUAUCCCCCCCCCCACAUCCCCCCCUCUGCAACUCUAUGCACUUGAACUACUUAGAACUGUACUAUUUUCUGUAGUGGAGGAAAGAAAUUACAUUUCAUACAUUGAGAAUUUUUGACAGGAUUUCAAUAAAUCUUUCCUAAAGCACAUAGAGCUAGCCCAUGGCUGCCCUUGAUAAAUCUUCAUUUCCUGUGUAUUUUGGAAAAUAAAAUAACAUAUACUAGUUAUUCAAGUUUCUUAGGGAAAUUUUAAAUGAAAACCAUUUGUAUGUGAAUAGAAUUUUUUUCAUUUUCAAAAUAUAUUUUAUGUAAAUUUUUACAGUCAAUACACCACACCAAGGUGAUUUUUAAAUUGGUGAACUUUCUUUUUAUUACAUAAACAGGGAUGUGAAGCUCUGUGAAAUUUAUGGAAAUUCAUUAUGUACUGGCUUUCUGUUUUAUUUCAAAAGGUCACUUUUUUCUUCCCCUCCCCCUGCUCCUCCUCCCCCCUUCCUCCUCCUCCUUGUCCUCUUCAUCAUCCUCAUCCUCAUCCUCCUCCUCUUGUCAUUAUUGUCAUUGUCUUCAUCUUCAUCUUUUUGUCUUCUGUGCCUGUCAUCUCACUCUUUGCACUCUCUCAAGUUUUACUCUAUUACAGAAGAGCUUGGAACUUGCUGUGUCUUCUAGGCUUCUCUUAAACUCAUGGCUCUUCUGCCCCUGCAACCUGAUUGUUGGGACUCUACCUUAACAGUGUCCUGAUGCUCUUCUGUCAGUGAUAUUUUGCUCCCAACAAUCAAGAUCUGUAGACUGCUUCUGCUGACUGUCAUUGGAUUUGAUCAACUUUAAGGUAUUCAUGUUUUUGCAUGUUUUUCCAUUUGAGCUGAUUAUAAUAUUUUUCCUUUCUAUUCACCACUUAAAAUCUUAUUUAGUCCAAAAAGAAACAAGAUCAGUCUUGUUUGAUAAAGAAAGUUUAUAGUAAUCAUUUCUUCAACUAACAGACAUAUUGACUUCUUGAUAGUUUAAUGCCCACACUAACUCGAGUAUCAGUUCAACAGGUUGCAUUGACAAAGGGAUUUCUCUUUCACAGUGAAGGAAAUCAGAUUCAAAUGGAAGGCAUAGUCAUUUGAAAGAUAAAAUAUGAAAAUUUGAACGCUCUAGAAAUUAAGCAAUAAACUUGAAAUUUUCUGCCAAAGAUAUAAAUUCUAUCAUCUAUAAAAAGGUUUUACAGAUGACAGGGUAAUACCUAUUUAAAACAGAUUGUACAAAUUUUUACAAAGAUUAUGAAAUACUUUAUCAUAUUUGUUGGAAAUUCCCCAAGUAUACUUCCUGGUGGGACAGAAGGUAAGUUGGGUAGGUAAUAUAAGUCUAUAAAAUAAGCAAAGUAGCCAAAGGAGGGAAAAAAAAAAAAAACAAAUGCAUACACAUGUGCAUGCGCGCGCGCGCGCGCGCACACACACACACACACACACACACACACACACACACACGCUUACAACACCUCUUGAUUUUGUUUCUCUGAAGAAUAAAGGUUAAAUCCACAGUAUAGUUUAAAUAGCUAAAAAUUCCUGUGCUAUUUUUGAAUAAUAUAAGCCACCAGCCCUUAGGAAUAAACUUAAUAUUGAUACUGGAUUGAUACUGGAUACCAAGUAUAGUUGUUACAAAUGUAAUCUAGCUUCUGAGAUUUUGGACUAGAAGAAUUGUGAAUUGAAGGUGAAUAAAAUGGAAGUUCCUAUUUAAAUACAGAAUUUUUAAGGGACUAGCAUAGUAGCCUAAUAGUAAACCUUUCGCCUACCUUGCAUAAACCCCUAGGUCAAAUUCUUAGUACUGAAAAAAAAAAAAGUUAGUAACUACGUUUAUUUCACUGACUGAUGUAUUUUGUACCUUACUUUACGGUAAUGAUACUAAAUUAGUACAAAACACAAUUUUAAAUUACAUUCUAUUUUGAUUACCAUUGUUUUCAAAUAUUUCAUGAAAGGUAAUCAUUUUCUUUGUUAUAUCCUGCACAUGGAAUCAAAAUGAAGUCAAUUCCCCUAGCAAAAUCACAUUUCCAAAUUUACAAAGUGACAUUCUUAUC